rnacentral:rRNA from 1 species
UACGAAGGGUGCAAACGUUGCUCGGAAUUAUUGGGCGUAAAGCGCACGUAGGCGGCUUUGCAAGUCCCAUGUGAAAUCCCACGGCUCAACCGUGGAAGUGCAUGGGAAACUGCAGAGCUUGAGUACUUAAGAGGAUCGCGGAAUUCCCGGUGUAGAGGUGAAAUUCGUAGAUAUCGGGAGGAACACCAGUGGCGAAAGCGGCGUUCUGGACUGUUUCUGACACUGAAAAACGAAAGCCAGGGGAGCAAACGGG